UCCCUUACUUUUGGUCGAUUUUAUUAUGCGAUAUCCCAGGACUAUAUAUCGCCGACCCUUUCAUUCUUUAUAGCACAUGCGGAAGCAGUUAUAAAUCCCCAGACAAUAAAGCAAUGGGAUAGAAAAGCAGGCCAUACAUUUUUCUCACUGAAAUUCACAACUACAACUUUUUACAUGCAAACAAGGUCUGACAAGACAGGAUAGGAUUUCGGUCCUCAUCCGGGUCGUACUCGAUGUCAUACUCGGGGUCCUCCUCCACGUACUCCUCUUCGGGUUCCUCAACAAGGAUCUCCUCGUCAGAUUCAUGCUCCUUAGGCUCCUCAUCCAGGUCCUGAAAUGGUUAUUCAAUAACCACUGAGACCACGUCUCAGCAAGUUCUACCUCCUAAGACCCGAUUAGUAAACUAAUACACCUUAGGGCUGCCUAUGCAUAACAUGAGUCAAAGGACUUACCUUAGCCUCAGAUUCCACCUGCAUAUUAGUACAGAUCAAAUAGGCACACAAGCAAUCACAUCACAGAUCGAAGCAUCGAUGUAAUCGACUAAGUCGAUUACAUGUCAACAAGACCACUCACGGUCACUUUCAUUCAAUCGAUCAUUUCACAACAUCAAAUCAAG
rnacentral:lncRNA from 1 species